rnacentral:rRNA from 1 species
AGCUCCAAUAGCGUAUAUUAAAGUUGUUGCAGUUAAAAAGCUCGUAGUUGGAUUUGUGGUGUGUCCAGUCGGCCUUUGCUCUCUGAGUGAGUGAUUGUGCUGUACUGGUCUGCCAUGUUUGGGUGGAAUCUGUGUGGCAUUAAGUUGUCGUGCAGGGGAUGCCCAUCGUUUACUGUGAAAAAAUUAGAGUGUUCAAAGCAGGCUUAUGCCGUUGAAUAUAUUAGCAUGGAAUAAUGAUAUAGGACCUUGGUACUAUUUUGUUGGUUUGCGCACUAAGGUAAUGAUUAAGAGGGACAGUUGGGGGUAUUUGUAUUCCAUUGUCAGAGGUGAAAUUCUUAGAUUUUUGGAAGACAAACUACUGCGAAAGCAUUUACCAAGGAUGUUUUCA